GCACUAUAAGAUAAAUUAAUUAAAUUUUAUAUAUCAUUAUAUUUAAAAAUAAAUUAUAAAAAAUUAUUUUAAUUUUUAUUAAUAAAGUUAAAUUAAAUCAAGAUGUAAAAUAAUUAAUAUUUAAUGAAUUAUAAUUAAUAAAAUUAAAUUUAAUAUGAUUAAAUUAUAUUUUAAUAAAAUUUUAAAGUAAUUUUAUUUUAUUAAAUAAGAUGAAUUAAUUUAUUAUUAUGUACAAAUUGCCCGUCACUUUUAAAUAUAAAAUAAGUCGUAACAAAGUAAAUAUAUUGGAAAAUGUAUUUUUAA
rnacentral:rRNA from 1 species